GUACCGGCCAUGCUUCCACCGUCA
rnacentral:siRNA from 1 species